GACCUCGGAUCAGGUAGGAAUACCCGCUGAACUUAAGCAUAUCAAUAAGCGGAGGAAAAGAAACUAACCAGGAUUCCCCUAGUAAUGGCGAACGAACCGGGAAAAGCCCAACUUGAAAAUCUCCUGCCUCCGGCAGGCGAAUUGUAGUCUCUAGAAGCGUUCUCUGUGGCGGGCCGGCCCCAAGUUCCCUGGAAGGGGACGUCAGAGAGGGUGAGAACCCCGUCGGGCCGCGCCGCUGCCACUCCACGAGGCGCUCUCGCAGAGUCGGGUUGUUUGAGAAUGCAGCCCUAAGCAGGUGGUAAAUCCCAUCUAAGGCUAAAUACUGACGGGAGACCGAUAGCGAACAAGUACCGCGAGGGAAAGAUGAAAAGGACUUUGAAAAGAGAGUCAAAGAGUGCUUGAAAUUGUCGGGAGGGAAGCGGAUGGGGGUCGGCGAUGUGUCUCGGUCGGAUGUGGAACGGUCAUAGCCGGUCUGCCGAUCGACUCGAGACAUUGACCGAUGCGGAUUGUGAUGGUGGCCUAAGCCCAGGCUGUUGAAAUGCUUGUGGAGACGUCAUCGUUGUGAUUGUGGACGGCAGCACGCGCCUUAGGCGUGUCUCGGCACGUGCGUGCUCCGGGCAUCGGCCUGUGGGCUCCCCAUUCGGCCCGUCUUGUAACACGGACCAAGGAGUCUGACAUGUGUGCGAGUCAACGGGUGAGUAAACCCGUAAGGCGUAAGGAAGCUGAUUGGUGGGAUCCCCUUGUGGGUUGCACCGCCGACCGACCCUGAUCUUCUGUGAAGGGUUCGAGUGAGAGCAUACCUGUCGGGACCCGAAAGAUGGUGAACUAUGC
rnacentral:rRNA from 1 species